rnacentral:tRNA from 1 species
GGCCGGUUAGCUCAGUGGGUUGAGCACGGUGCUAACAAUGACAACACUGAGGUUGCGGGUUUGAUUCCCGCUCGGUCC